rnacentral:rRNA from 1 species
UACGUAGGGGGCAAGCGUUGUCCGGAUUUAUUGGGCGUAAAGAGCGUGUAGGCGGCCUGACAGGUCUGCUGUGAAAACUCGAGGCUCAACCUCGAGAUGUCGGCGGAAACCGUCUGGCUAGAGUCCGGAAGAGGAGAGUGGAAUUCCUGGUGUAGCGGUGAAAUGCGCAGAUAUCAGGAAGAGCACCUAUGGCGAAGGCAGCUCUCUGGGACGGUACUGACGCUGAGACGCGAAAGCGUGGGGAGCGAACAGG